ACUGGACUCCAUACCAACCCAAAUGUAUUUGAGUUUGUCUGAUUUCAAAAGCUAAGCUGGUUCAUCCUUGGGUAGUACUUGAAUGGGAAGCUACCAAGGAAUACGAAAGACUUUGAGGU
rnacentral:rRNA from 1 species